rnacentral:lncRNA from 1 species
GGCAGAGAUUUGGGGAUGGGGGGGGAAUGGGAGGGGGGUGAAUGAGGGGGGAUUUGUGAAUGGGGGGGUGUGAAUGGGGGGGUGUGAAUGGGGGCAGGGAUUUGUGAAUGGAGGGGGAGUGAGAAUGGGGGGGGAAUGGGAAGGAGGUGAAUGGGGGGGGAAUGUGAAUGGGGGGGAGAGAGGGAGGGAAUGUGAAUGGGGGGGAGGGAAUUGUGAAUGGGAGGGAGGGGGAGGGGGGAAUUGUGGGUGGGGGGGAGGAAGGGGGGGGUGGAAUUGUGAAUGGGGGUGGUGGGAGAGGGAGGAAUCGUGAAUGGAAUGUGAGCGGGGAAGGAAAAAGUGAAUGGAGGGAGACGGGAACAGAAAGCAGUUCUGAAUGGAAUGGAAUGGAAUGGAAUGGGGUGGGGUGGGGGUGGGGAGGGGUGGGGGUCCUGGCAGCUCACAGAGGUGGGAGGGGGGGGUUGGAAAAGUCCUGGCAGCUCACAAAGGAAUGGGGGUGUUGGGAAGGAAAGGUCCUGAAAGGUCACAGAGCCACGGGGUGGGUGGGUGGGGUGGGAAAGGUCCUGGCUGGGCACAGAGCUAUGGGGUGGUUGGGUUGGGAUGGAAAGGUCCUGACAGGUCACAAAGGCAUUGGACUGUUGGGUUGGAAAGGUCCUGACAGAUCACAGAGAUGUGGAAUGAAUGGGUUGGGAUGGAAAGGUCCUAACAGAUCACAUAGAUGUGGGAUGAAUGAAUUGGGAUGGAAAGGUCCUUACAGAUCACAGAGCUAUGGGGUGGUUGGGUUGGGAUGGAAAGGUCCUGACAGAUCACAAAUAUGUGGGAUGAAUGGGUAGGGAUGGAAAGGUCCUGACAGGUCACAGAGCUAUGGGGUGGUUGGGAUGGGAUGGAAAGGUCCUGACAGAUCACAGAGCUAUGGGGUGGUUGGGUUGGAUUAGAAAGGUCCUAACAGAUCACAAAGGCAUUGGACAGUUGGGUUGGGAUGGAAAGGUCCUUACAGAUCACAGAGCCAUUGGAUGGUUGGGUUGGGUUGGAAAGGUCCUAACAGGUCACAGAGAUGUGGGAUGGAUGGGUUG